GAAGAAGUGUAGGGAUUUUGAAUACAGAAAAGUGUACAAUUUCUAUCAUACUAUAGUUUAGUUGAAGCAUUCUCGGGAAAGAUAUUCCUUCUGAAGUUAUGAUCAAUACCCUCUGCUUCGUUAAAUCCGUUAAGCGCUUUGAUGAUUCCUGAAAAGUUGGAUAAAAAUACUCCAAAUAGAAUAACAAAGCAGUUUCAAAAGAGAGUAUGGAUCCCGUACAACUGAAGGUAAAUAAUAGAACAACAGACACCUAAAAAACACAGUGGUACAGUGAUUAGAAUGCAGCAUUGAGGCUAAUUCUGGCCACAGCUAGGAGUUUGAUCCUGACCAGCUCAAGGUUAAGUCAGCCUUCCAUCUU